UCUGUCAAAAGUGGAAAAAAAAAAAAGCAAAAUAUCAUUCUAGAAUUAUAUCCAGUCACAAUGAAUAAACUGGCAACCAUCUUCAUUUCUGAAAACAACAUUUCCAUGUCGAUUCCAGUUCCCCGAGGUGACCAAAUGAUGCUACCAAAAUGAAACCCCAGAUCUCAGCAUCUUCUCCAUCGAUUGAGUUCCUUCCGAUCCCUAUUCAAGCUCCCUUUCUCUUUGUAUUUCCAGAUCCCCAAUCUCACUGCCCGAGUGCAUGCACAACCUUCAGCAGUAAACGGAGAUGUAAUCUCUUUCCCAAAGUUGCAUGUGAAACCACGCCUCUAUUGUUUCUAGCAACCAACCAAGAUGUCGAUCGGAACUGAUGGCGAUUGUAGGCCAAGUUAAAGUUAAUGCGAACAAACCCAUCCUCUGGAGGUCUCCAAGUCACAGACAUAUUCUGUUUAGUUAGAUUCCUAGCCUCCAACUCUUCAAUUUCCUAGAUAUAUUUGAAAAUCUGUUCAGCUAUUCCUCUACCCGAAGUAUAUUUUCAUUCGUCUACUCUUCUAUUUCUUUCAGUCGAGAUUACCCAUAUCGCGCAACAAAAGAAUUGGCAUUGAUAGCUCGAGGCUCUUUGAAACACCCAGGGUAGUCUCUAAAAACAUGGCCAGUGGUCUCCACCCCCUCUUUUACUUGGGCAGAUUAUGUUCACUCGCAGCUUUUUAUGUUGUUGAUUAACUAGAGUUGGUAGAAAAUUUCAGGAAACUUUCCAUAGGGUAAUUUUAUGUUUUGCCGUAAGCUUAAGGGUCCAAAGUCUUCUGUAAAAUUUAAUCAUGUCAUUCUGUAACUCAAUAGAAUUAUGAUUAGUUGUAUGUUCAAGUAAAA